GGUCUUUCAGUCGUUUGCUCCCAGGAGUUCUGGGCUGUAGUGCACUAUGCCGAUCGGGUGUCCGCACUAAGUUUGGCAUCAAUAUGGUGACCUCCCGGGAGCGGGGGGCCACCAGGUUGCCUAAGGAGGGGUGAACCGGCCCAGGUCAGAGA